rnacentral:rRNA from 1 species
UACGAAGGGGGCUAGCGUUGCUCGGAAUCACUGGGCGUAAAGGGUGCGUAGGCGGGUCUUUAAGUCAGAGGUGAAAUCCUGGAGCUCAACUCCAGAACUGCCUUUGAUACUGAAGAUCUUGAGUUCGGGAGAGGUGAGUGGAACUGCGAGUGUAGAGGUGAAAUUCGUAGAUAUUCGCAAGAACACCAGUGGCGAAGGCGGCUCACUGGCCCGAUACUGACGCUGAGGCACGAAAGCGUGGGGGAGCAAACAGG